UAGGGAAUCUUCGGCAAUGGGGGAAAGAAGGAGCGAGCAACGCCGCGUGAGUGAAGAAGGUUUUCGGAUCGUAAAGCUCUGUUGUAAGAGAAGAACGUGUGUGAGAGUGGAAAGUUCACACAGUGACGGUAACUUACCAGAAAGGGACGGCUAACUACGUGCCAGCAGCCGCGGUAAUACGUAGGUCCCGAGCGUUGUCCGGAUUUAUUGGGCGUAAAGCGAGCGCAGGCGGUUUAAUAAGUCUGAAGUUAAAGGCAGUGGCUUAACCAUUGUUCGCUUUGGAAAAUGUUAAACUUGAGUGCAGAAGGGGAGAGUGGAAUUCCAUGUGUAGCGGUGAAAUGCGUAGAUAUAUGGAGGAACACCGGUGGCGAAAGCGGCUCUCUGGUCUGUAACUGACGCUGAGGCUCGAAAGCGUGGGGAGCAAACAGG
rnacentral:rRNA from 1 species